AAGCAGGGGAUCGCAAGACCUUGCGCUUUUGGAGUGGCCGAUGCCUGAUUAGCUAGUUGGUGGGGUAAGGGCCUACCAAGGCGACGAUCAGUAGUUGGUCUGAGAGGACGACCAGCCACACUGGGACUGAGACACGGCCCAGACUCCUACGGGAGGCAGCAGUGGGGAAUUUUGGACAAUGGGCGAAAGCCUGAUCCAGCAAUGCCGCGUGAGUGAAGAAGGCCUUCGGGUUGUAAAGCUCUUUCAGUCGAGAAGAAAAGGUCGCGACUAAUAAUCGCGACUCAUGACGGUAUCGACAGAAGAAGCACCGGCUAACUACGUGCCAGCAGCCGCGGUAAUACGUAGGGUGCGAGCGUUAAUCGGAAUUACUGGGCGUAAAGGGUGCGCAGGCGGCUUUGUAAGUCAGAUGUGAAAUCCCCGGGCUUAACCUGGGAAUUGCGUUUGAAACUACAAAGCUUAGA
rnacentral:rRNA from 1 species